rfam:Trichobilharzia regenti genome assembly, scaffold: TRE_scaffold0016631
AUUAGCUGACGAGUUCCAAAUAGGACGAAAUGCGCAUUUUGGUUGGAU